GAAGCGGUGGAGCAUUGUGGUUUAAUUCGAAGCAACGACGAAGAACCUUACCAGGUCUUGACAUCCCGAUGCUAUUUCUAGAGAUAGAAAGUUACUUCGGUACAUCGGUGACAGGUGGUGCAUGGUUGUCGUCAGCCCGUGUCGUGAGAUGUUGGGUUAAGUCCCGCAACGAGCGCAACCCCUAUUGUUAGUUGCCAUCAUUCAGUUGGGCACUCUAGCGAGACUGCCGGUAAUAAACCGGAGGAAGGUGGGAUGACGUCAAAUCAUCAUGCCCCUUAUGACCUGGGCUACACACGUGCUACAAUGGUUGGUACAACGAGUUGCGAGUCGGUGACGGCGAGCUAAUCUCUUAAAGCCAAUCUCAGUUCGGAUUGUAGGCUGCAACUCGCCUACAUGAAGUCGGAAUCGCUAGUAAUCGCGGAUCGGCACGCCGCGGUGAAUACGUUCUCGGGCCUU
rnacentral:rRNA from 1 species